GACCCACCCACCAAGCACGGCACACUGCAGCCUCCCUCUUCUUGGCCACAACAUUCUCUCAGUCUCACUUCUCCACCAGCCUAACUCCUAUUCUUUCUUCAAAAGUCAGAGCACUGUAGCCCCCUCAUCCGCGGGGGGAUACAUUCCAGGACUUCUGGUGGAUGCCUGAAACCACGGUACCAAACCCUGAAUAUACCAUGGUUUUUUUUCCCCCCCAUACAUACAUACCUACGGUGAAGUUUCAUUUAUAAAUACGGCACAGCUUGAGCUGCCUCCAUGAGCCUCCAGGACUACAGAGAGCUCCUGACCUAUGAAACCAUGAUCCUGAAGGCUGGCCUCAGAUGUGGCACUUAGGUGAGAGAGCGAAGGCAGACUGAGAAACAACGUGUGGACCCACCGAAGAGAGCAGGAGGCAUGGAUGGCAAAACCCAGAGGAGCUGACAAGGGAAAAGACCCAGAUUUGAGGGAGAGAGUGGCCACAGGCGGAGACAAAGGGAAGAAGCCUAGAGUAUAGGACAACUAGUCUGAGAUUUUCUGCAGACCCCAGCUAGAAGUGAAGCCUGGCCCAGAAGGCUCCAGCUAUUUUAAAACAUAGGUUUUAUUCUCUGCUUCAGAUUCUGUGUCUCCCUCUCUCUCUGCCCACCCCCACUCACGCUCUCCCUCUCUCUCUCAAAAAUAAAUAAACAUUAAAA